GACGAACGCUGGCGGUGUGCUUAACACAUGCCAGUCGAACGGUAAGGCCCUUUCGGGGGUACACGAGUGGCGAGCGGGUGAGUAACACGUGAGUAACCUGCCCUCAUCUCUGGGAUAACAGUCGGAAACGGUUGCUAAUACUGGAUAUGAGCUUGCAAGGCAUCUUGUGGGUUGGAAAGAUUUUUUUUGGUUGGGGAUGGACUCGCGGCCUAUCAGCUUGUUGGUGAGGUAGUGGCUCACCAAGGCUUCGACGGGUAGCCGGCCUGAGAGGGCGACCGGCCACAUUGGGACUGAGAUACGGCCCAAACUCCUACGGGAGGCAGCAGUGGGGAAUAUUGCACAAUGGACGGAAGUCUGAUGCAGCAACGCCGCGUGCGGGAUGACGGCCUUCGGGUUGUAAACCGCUUUCAAUUGUGACGAAGCUUUUUUGUGACGGUAGCAGUAGAAGAAGCACCGGCUAACUACGUG
rnacentral:rRNA from 1 species